rnacentral:misc_RNA from 1 species
CGCAACUUGCGCCCCUUGGCAUUCCGAGGGGCACGCCUGUUUGAGUGUCGUGAAUUCCUCCACUACUUCACUUUUUUGUGGAUGUAGAUGGGACUUGGGGGCUUUGCGGGUCUGUGAUCCGCUCCCCUUGAAUGCAUUAGUGAGGUCCGAUGUGGCCUUGGUGUGAUAAUUAUCUACGCCAUGGUUCAACUCGUACAGGCUUCGCUUCUAACCGUCUUCGGACAAUUACGACUUGAAAUUGACCUCAAAUCAGGCGGGACUACCCGCUGAACUUAA